rnacentral:rRNA from 1 species
CAGUAGCCACGGUGAUACGUAGGGUGCGAGCGUUAAUCGGAAUUACUGGGCGUAAAGCGUGCGCAGGCGGUUGUGUAAGACAGGUGUGAAAUCCCCGGGCUUAACCUGGGAACUGCGCUUGUGACUGCACAGCUAGAGUAUGGCAGAGGGGGGUGGAAUUCCACGUGUAGCAGUGAAAUGCGUAGAGAUGUGGAGGAACACCGAUGGCGAAGGCAGCCCCCUGGGCCAAUACUGACGCUCAUGCACGAAAGCGUGGGGAGCAAACAGGAUUAGAUACCCGAGUAGUCCCUGUCUCUUAUAC